rnacentral:rRNA from 1 species
UGGGGAAUAUUGCACAAUGGGCGAAAGCCUGAUCCAGCCAUGCCGCAUGAGUGAAGAAGGCCUUUGGGUUGUAAAGCUCUUUUAGUGAGGAAGAUAAUGACGGUACUCACAGAAGAAGUCCUGGCUAACUCCGUGCCAGCAGCCGCGGUAAUACGGAGAGGGCUAGCGUUAUUCGGAAUUAUUGGGCGUAAAGGGCGCGUAGGCUGGUUAAUAAGUUAAAAGUGAAAUCCCGAGGCUUAACCUUGGAAUUGCUUUUAAAACUAUUAAUCUAGAGAUUGAAAGAGGAUAGAGGAAUUCCUGAUGUAGAGGUAAAAUUCGUAAAUAUUAGGAGGAACACCGGUGGCGAAGGCGUCUAUCUGGUUCAAAUCUGACGCUGAAGCGCGAAGGCGUGGGGAGCAAACA